rnacentral:misc_RNA from 1 species
GUCUACAGUGUACAGGUAUGUGUCUACAGUGUACAGGUAUGUGUCUACAGUGUACAGGUAUGUGUCUACAGUGUACAGGUAUGUGUCGGCGACACGUGCGCCGCCGCGUGCGCGUGUGUGUGUCUACACGUGUACAUGGUCCAGUCAAUAACCGCGGAAAACAAGAUAAUUUCACGUAAGUCGAAAUACUGAAUAAGAAGCUCCAGAAUCUAGACAUAAUCGCUAGGAAAAACAACAUCAUUCUACAUGAAAUAAAGUAAAUAAAGUACAACGUCUUGAUAAAAAAGAGGAAAAUGGGAAAAUAAGACCUAUUCUGCUUACAUUAAAUAUUUUGAAGAAAAAAAUCCAAAUCCUUAAAAACAAGAAAAAAAUGAAAAAACAAAGCACAUUACCAAUGACUAUGCUAAGGAAACUUUGGAGAAACGUAAAGCAAGAGCUAGAUACAUUCGUGAAAAUGAAAAAAGAAAAAGAACCCCAGAGACACCAAAUUCGAAGGAAACAACCAACAACACUAACAAGAAAAUCCAACGAAUAGACGUUUUUCAAUGCAUGCGUGAGCGAGCCUACUCUAUGUCCGAGAAAAAUAUCUACCUCAAAUACUAACCGAAAACUAAAUAUCACACAGAAAAAUAAAAAACCAUAACAGCA